UACGGAGGGUGCAAGCGUUAUCCGGAUUCACUGGGUUUAAAGGGUGCGUAGGUGGGUUGGUAAGUCAGUGGUGAAAUCUCCGGGCUUAACUCGGAAACUGCCGUUGAUACUAUCAAUCUUGAAUAUUGUGGAGGUAAGCGGAAUAUGUCAUGUAGCGGUGAAAUGCUUAGAUAUGACAUAGAACACCGAUAGCGAAGGCAGCUUGCUACACAAUUAUUGACACUGAGGCACGAAAGCGUGGGAAUCAAACAGG
rnacentral:rRNA from 1 species